UACGAAGGGGGCUAGCGUUGUUCGGAAUUACUGGGCGUAAAGCGCAUGUAGGCGGAUAUUUAAGUCAGGGGUGAAAUCCCGCAGCUCAACUCUGGAACUGCCUUUGAUACUGGGUAUCUUGAGUAUGGAAGAGGUGAGUGGAAUUCCGAGUGUAGAGGUGAAAUUCGUAGAUAUUCGGAGGAACACCAGUGGCGAAGGCGGCUCACUGGUCCAUUGCUGACGCUGAGGUGCGAAAGCGUGGGGAGCAAACAGG
rnacentral:rRNA from 1 species